rnacentral:rRNA from 1 species
UACAGAGGUCCCAAGCGUUGUUCGGAUUCAUUGGGCGUAAAGGGUGCGUAGGCGGCGCGGUAAGUCGGGUGUGAAAUCUCGGAGCUUAACUCCGAAACUGCAUUCGAUACUGCCGUGCUUGAGGACUGGAGAGGAGACUGGAAUUUACGGUGUAGCGGUGAAAUGCGCAGAUAUCGGGAGGAACACCUAUGGCGAAGGCAGCUCGCUGGGACGUUACUGACGCUGAGACGCGAAAGCGUGGGGAGCAAACAGG